rnacentral:rRNA from 1 species
GACGUAGGGCGCGAGCGUUGUCCGGAUUUAUUGGGCGUAAAGAGCUCGUAGGCGGCUUGUCGCGUCGACUGUGAAAACCCACGGCUUAACUGUGGGCUUGCAGUCGAUACGGGCAGGCUAGAGUUCGGUAGGGGAGUCUGGAAUUCCUGGUGUAGCGGUGAAAUGCGCAGAUAUCAGGAGGAACACCGGUGGCGAAGGCGGGACUCUGGGCCGAUACUGACGCUGAGGAGCGAAAGCGUGGGGAGCGAACAGG